GACGAACGCUGGCGGCGUGCUUAAAACAUGCAAGUCGAACGAAGUGGCGAACGGGUGAGUAAUACGGGAGUAACUGCCCUCCUGUUUGGGAUAAAAGUUGGAAACGGCUGCUAAUCCCGGAUAGGGGGGGGGGACACGGGGCCUAUCAGCUUGUUGGUGGGGUAUUGGCCUCCCAAGGCGACGACGGGUAGCCGGCCUGGGGGGGCGACCGGCCACAUUGGGCUGAGAUACGGCCCAAGCUCCUACGUGAGGCAGCCGUGGGGAAUCGUGCACAAUGCGGGAAACCCUGAUGCAGCAACGCCGCGUGCGGGAUGACGGCCUGCGGGUUGUAAACCGCUUUCAGCCAUGACGCGGUAGUGGCAGAAGAAGCACCGGCUAACUACGUGCCAGCCGCCGCGGUAAUAC
rnacentral:rRNA from 1 species